AGGACGGCUCAUAAUGUCAGGAGUGGAAGGGUUGUAAAACCACAGGAGGCUGUUGGGGAGGACGGCUCAUAAUGUCAGGAGUGGAAGGGUUGUAAAACAGAAGGGAACUAUGUGUUUGAUACCAGUCACUUCACCACAUUCCUCCCAUCACUAUGAGCCCUUCCUCCCCAAUUAAUAAGGUGCCCCCAGUCGCAUGUGGUGUGGUACAAAAUACUAUAUGUACCGUGUUAGUGGUGUUAUAUAAAUACUAUAUGUACCGUGGCUGUGUAAUUAGUGAAUCAUUUGGAUAUACUGUAUGUAGUAGAAAAUACUAAUAGUACCGUGUUAGUGGUGAUAUAUAAAUACUAUAUGUACAAAUAAUUAAAAAAAAUAAUUGUAAGGAUAAUUAUCAGCUUUGGCUAGAAGAGCCACACUAAUGUCGGGAUUCAAUCCCAUGGUGCUUUGUCAACAACGCACCAUUUAAACCUUUCCGAUUGAACCAACAUGCAGCGAGGAAUGUGGUCUCCCCGACAGGUGCGGACUUUGCCUAUGAAUGACGUUAAUGGCGUUGUUGACGAAGCGCAGUCAGAUUGAAUCGGGGACUAACAGUGAUCUGGUUUAGUACAGGUGGACUUUAAUUAAAGGGGCAAUGCAGGAUUCAAAAGAACAACAAAGUGUUCUCCGUUAUCAUCCAAUCCCAGAUCAGGAUUAUUUAUUUAUUAGUUAUCAUUCGCUAAGAAGUCAAAAAACAGAUGUGGUCCGACCAAUCCCAGAUCAGGAUUAUUUACAUACAUAGUUUGUGAGGCACUAAUAUGGAUUUACAUAUUCCAUUACCAGGCACUUUUUAUCCACAUCAACUUUCAGUCAGUCAGUCAUUUUUACAUAUGGGGAGGCCCCAGGAAUCAAACCCACAAUCCUGGUGUUGUAAAUGCUCUACCAACUGAACCACAGAGGACAGGCUCUACCAACUGAGUCCACAGAGGACAGGUUCUACCAGCUGAGUCACAGAGGACAGGUUCUACCAACUGAACCACAGAGGACAGGUUCUACCAACUGAGCGACAGAGGACAGGCUCUACCAACUGAGCCACAGAGGACAGGCUCUACCAACUGAGUUACAGAGGACAGGUUCUACCAACUGAGCCACAGAGGACAGGUUCUACCAACUGAGUCACAGAGGACAGGUUCUACCAACUGAGCCACAGAGGACAGGUUCUACCAACUGAGUCACAGAGGACAGGUUAUACCAACUGAACCCACAGAGGACAGGUUCUACCAACUGAGCGACAGAGGACAGGCUCUACCAACUGAACCACAGAGGACAGGUUCUACCAACUGAGUCACAGAUGACAGGUUCUACCAACUGAGUUACAGAGGACAGGCUCUACCAACUGAGCCACAGAGGACAGGUUCUACCAACUGAGUUACAGAGGACAGGUUCUACCAACUGAGUCCACAGAGGACAGGUUCUACCAUAGAACUACAUUUUUAGAUAUGCUAAUAUCUCCUCUCACUUUUUCUUUCCCUCCCUCCAACUGUCUCCCCCUCUUUUUCUCUCCCUCUCUCCCACACCUCUCUCGGUCUCUUUCUCUCCCACUAUCCUCCCCUUUCUCUCUCCCUCUCUCCCACACCUCUCUCAGUCUCUUUCUCUCCCACUAUCCCCCCCUCUCUCCCCUCUCCCUCUCUCCCACACCUCUCUCGGUCUCUUUC
ensembl:lncRNA